AACGUAGGAGGCGAGCGUUAUCCGGAUUUACUGGGCGUAAAGGGCAAGUAGGUGGUUUCAUGCGUGGGGUUUGAAAACGACUGGCUUAACUGGUCGAGGUGGCCCCAAACGGUGGGACUUGAGGUAGGGAGAGGGAUGCGGAAUUCCUGGUGUAGUGGUGGAAUGCGUAGAGAUCAGGAGGAACACCCGUGGCGAAAGCGGCAUCCUGGCCCUGACCUGACACUGAGGUGCGAAAGCGUGGGGAGCAAAC
rnacentral:rRNA from 1 species